rnacentral:rRNA from 1 species
UACGUAGGGGGCUAGCGUUGUCCGGAUUUAUUGGGCGUUAAGAGCGUGUAGGCGGCCAUGUAGGUCCGGUGUGAAAACUCGAGGCUUAACCUCGAGAUGUCAUCGGAAACCAUUUGGCUAGAGUCCGGAAGAGGAGAGUGGAAUUCCUGGUGUAGCGGUGAAAUGCGCAGAUAUCAGGAAGAACACCAAUGGCGAAAGCAGCUCUCUGGGACGGUACUGACGCUGAGACGCGAAAGCGUGGGGAGCAAACAGG